AUAUAGUAUUAGAAUUCAAAAAUUUUGAUUGAACUUUUGUAAGUUUACGCAGCAAUGAAUAACAAAAUAUAUCUAUUUCUGUUAAUUGUUGUUUUUGCGGUUGUGAUUUCCGAUGUUAUAGCUAAUCCAGCAGCUGAAGCAAAUACUGUUUUACUCUCACGAUCUAAGAGAAGUCUAAUUGAAGUUAUUAUGGCGCUCAGUUCACACAUUAUGUGCUUAUUGUUACCUAUACCCUGCUUUAUAAUGCACUUUUAUCAUUAUUUCUGUGAUGAAUAAAACUAAUAUUUAAAUCUCAAA